UGCAAGUAGAACGCUGAAGAGAGGAGCUUGCUCUUCUUGGAUGAGUUGCGAACGGGUGAGUAACGCGUAGGUAACCUGCCUGGUAGCGGGGGAUAACUAUUGGAAACGAUAGCUAAUACCGCAUAAAAUGGAUUAUCGCAUGAUAAUGCAUUGAAAGGUGCAAAUGCAUCACUACCAGAUGGACCUGCGUUGUAUUAGCUAGUUGGUGGGGUAACGGCUCACCAAGGCGACGAUACAUAGCCGACCUGAGAGGGUGAUCGGCCACACUGGGACUGAGACACGGCCCAGACUCCUACGGGAGGCAGCAGUAGGGAAUCUUCGGCAAUGGACGGAAGUCUGACCGAGCAACGCCGCGUGAGUGAAGAAGGUUUUCGGAUCGUAAAGCUCUGUUGUAAGAGAAGAACGAGUGUGAGAGUGGAAAGUUCACACUGUGACGGUAUCUUACCAGAAAGGGACGGCUAACUACGUGCCAGCAGCCGCGGUAAUACGUAGGUCCCGAGCGUUGUCCGGAUUUAUUGGGCGUAAAGCGAGCGCAGGCGGUUAGAUAAGUCUGAAGUUAAAGGCUGUGGCUUAACCAUAGUACGCUUUGGAAACUGUUUAACUUGAGUGCAAGAGGGGAGAGUGGAAUUCCAUGUGUAGCGGUGAAAUGCGUAGAUAUAUGGAGGACACCGGUGGCGAAGCGGUUCUCUGGCUUGUAACUGACGCU
rnacentral:rRNA from 1 species